rnacentral:rRNA from 1 species
CCUACGGGGGGCAGCAGUGAGGAAUAUUGGUCAAUGGGCGCGAGCCUGAACCAGCCAAGUCGCGUGAGGGAAGACGGUCCUAUGGAUUGUAAACCUCUUUUGUCGGGGAGCAAAAGAUGCCACGCGCGGCGUUCUGAGAGUACCCGAAGAAAAAGCAUCGGCUAACUCUGUGCCAGCAGCCGCGGUAAUACGGAGGAUGUGGGCGUUAUCCGGUUUUAUUGGGGUUAAAGGGAGCGCAGGCGGAAGAUAAAGUCGACGGUAAAAUUGAGGGGCUCAACCUCUUCGAGCCGUUGAAACUGGUUUUCUUGAGUGAGGGAGAGGUAUGCGGAAUGCGUGGUGUAGCGGUGAAAUGCAUAGAUAUCACGCAGAACUCCGAUUGCGAAGGCAGCAUACCGGCGCUCAACUGACGCUCAUGCGCGAAAGUGUGGGUAUCGAACAGGAUUAGAUACCCGGGUAGUC